UACGUAGGGGGCAAGCGUUAGGCGGAAUCACUGGGCUUAAAGCGCGUGUAGGUGGGUCGUUCAGUGUCCGCGUGAAAUCCCACGGCUCAACCGUGGAACUGCCGGGCAUACUGGCGAUCUUGAGGCAUUCAGGGGCGAGCGGAACAAGUGGUGGAGCGGUGAAAUGCGUAGAUAUCACUUGGAACGCCAAUGGUGAAAACAGCUCGCUGGGAAUGAUCUGACACUGAGACGCGAAAGCCAGGGGAGCGAACGGG
rnacentral:rRNA from 1 species